UACAUAUAAUAUGGAAGUUAGCAACGGAACUGCUUUUAAGUGCACAGUUGAGUGGCAUUAAGUACAUUCGCACUGUUGUGUGACCAUCAGCACCACAAUAUCUGUCCCCAUUAAAUGCUAACUGCCCUUCCUCUCUGCCCCCGCCUCUGGCUCCUACCGCCUCCCCUCUCUCUAUAAGCUGCCGCUCCUGUCAUGCUUGGCUUCCUUUCGCAAGGUUCCUUCCUGGUCUAAUAUAGCUGCCAGAGCACCAGCCAUUAGGUUUACAUUCCAGCUAGAAGAAAGGGCAAGGAAGGCUUUGACUUUAAAAGCUUCCUGGAAGUUUCGCAAGCCAAUUCUACUUUCAUCUCAUUGCCCUGAACUUGGACAGAGCCACAAGUCACUGCACGCAUGAGAGGCCGAGAGAAGAGUCUUUGUUCCAGGGGGCCACCGAGAGAGCUCGAAACCAGGCCUUUCUUCUGGAGGAAGCCAAGGCUGAAUGGAUACUAGAGGCAGUUGCCAAAGAGACGGCCUGGAGGAAUGGACUAUUGGAAGGAUUCACGGAUGUCACCCAUGUCCACAAAAACCCGUCCUCAACCUGAGUCGUAAGGGCCUGUUGUCAUGUGAAGAGGCCACGGCUGACCUCACCCUGCCCUUUCUGUUGGGUCUCAGGUAAAACUGCUCGCCCUUCCCGGCCUAGGCACAGACACGAUGACCUGAGCCGCUGACGAGCACCCGAUUUGCCAGGAGAACGUGUUUUAGACGGACGUUCAGGGGGUGUGAUCGCAGAACGCCUGAAGCAGCAGAAUGCCGCUGCCCUUGCGAAGGUGUUCCGGUCGAUGAUGUGCCCUUUGUCUCUCUGUGAAAUGACCACAGCAGUAAAUCUCCUGAACACCGUCCCCCGCGGAGCCACAGGUUUUCCGGGGGCGGGAGCCGGGGGAGCGUGAGCGCCCAGACGGCCUGGAAAGCCCCCAGCCAGCCGAUCGCCCCGCCCAGAGACACGCUGCUCUGAUUUCUGGAACCUUCUCCAGAGGUGGAACGAGGGCUUCUUAACAUUUUUCAGCCCAGGGCCUCCCCCUCACUUUGGAAUGUUCUCCUGGCCACCAAGCCACAUCCUGCAAAACCUGACUUGAGACUCACUGCCUACAGGAAGGCUUCCAGGAUUACUCUUCCAUCCCCCAAGCUGAAACGAUUCGUCAUCCUUCCCCUCAGGCCCUGGGCGGUCAGACUAGAGCAUGUUCUUCUGCCCUCCCAGCUAAAUCCGUUUCUAACUCACGUCAGCUGCCCCAGGCUUUGAUUUCAGUGGCGUGUCUCGUGAGACUGCACAGCCCAGAGGGACUCCAGAGCCAGGCAGCCCAGAAUGGAUGCUGGCUCCGCUCUUUCCCAGCUGUGUGACC